GUCCCAGUAGUGUAAUGGUUAACACACGAACUCCGGAUAGGCGCGAGACACGGGUUCGAUUCCCGCCUUGGCCA
rnacentral:tRNA from 1 species